GAGGGUAUAGCUCAGUGGUAGAGCAUUCGAAUGAAAAUCGAUAGGUCCUCGGUUCAAACCCGUGUGUCCUCU